rnacentral:lncRNA from 1 species
AUUCUGUGUUGUUACAGGCAGCUGUUUGGCCAAGCAGAGGCACGGUGUUCACAGCGCAGAGUCUGGCUGCAAGCCCUGGAUUGCCUGGGUCACCAAACCCAAUUCUCUGAGUGGAAAAGGGAAGAAAGCCAGGGCAAUGGCACAUACCCAGAGCAGGGUGUGAGCCCAAGGAGCAGGUGUGGCUGUGCUUCUCUCUCUUACGGGACAAGCAGAGCACAGACAAGGCCCACCUGUGCAGUGUGUUUAAAGACAGAAGUGAUUUCGGGUGAGUCCAGGAUCAGGCCAAGGAGAUGGCCCUGCUUAUGUCUGCACCGCCACUGGAGGCUAUCACCUAGCAGACUGCCAGAAGAAACGAUUUGUCUGAGAAACUGAAGAGCUGGAAGAUGGGAACUCCUCACAGAGGGCAUAGCACAGCUGACUCACCAGACCCAAGUCUAAAUCUUCAGUUCUCAGUAAAGAUGGGUCUUUAUCCCAACCUUCAGUUCGGUUCAGUUCAGUCGCUCAGUCGUGUCCGACUCUUUGUGACCGCAUGAAUUGCAGCACAUCAGACCUCCCUGUCCAUCACCAACU